UAUAAGUAUAANCGCUUUAAGCGUGAAACCGCGAACGGCUCAUUACAACAGCUAUAAUUUACUUGAUCUUGACAAACUUACAUGGAUAACUGAGGUAAUUCUUGAGCUAAUACAUGCACCAAAGCUUUGACCGUAAGGGAAGAGCGCAUUUAUUAGAACAAAACCAAACGGCUUCGGCUGUUCCCAGUUGAAUCAGAAUAACUCAGCUGAUCGUACGGUCUUGCACCGACGACGUGUCUUUCAAGUAUCUGCUUUAUCAACUUUCGAUGGUAGGGUAUCUGCCUACCAUGGUGGUGACGGAUAACGGAGGAUCAGGGUUCGACUCCGGAGAAGGGGCCUGAGAAAUGGCCACUACGUCUAAGGAUGGCAGCAGGCGCGCAAAUUACCCACUCUCAGAAUUUGGANGAGGUAGUGACGAGAAAUAACGAGGUUGAUCUCUUCUGAGGCCAACCAUCGGAAUGGGUACAAUUUAAACCCUUUAACGAGUAUCUAUGAGAGGGCAAGUCUGGUGCCAG
rnacentral:rRNA from 1 species